GUGCCAGCCGCCGCGGUAAUACGUAGGGUGCAAGCGUUAAUCGGAAUUACUGGGCGUAAAGCGUACGCAGGCGGCUAUGUAAGACAGGCGUGAAAUCCCCGGGCCCAACCUGGGAACUGCGCUUGUGACUGCAUAGCUGGAGUCCGUAAGAGGGGGGUGGAAUUCCACGUGUAGCAGUGAAAUGCGUAGAGAUGUGGAGGAACACCGAUGGCGAAGGCAGCCCCCUGGGAUGAGACUGACGCUCAUGUACGAAAGCGUGGGGAGCAAACAGGAUUAGAAACCCGUGUAGUCC
rnacentral:rRNA from 1 species